UACGUAGGGCGCAAGCGUUGUCCGGAAUUAUUGGGCGUAAAGAGCUCGUAGGCGGUCUGUCACGUCGGAUGUGAAAGCCCGGGGCUUAACCCCGGGUCUGCAUUCGAUACGGGCAGACUAGAGUGUGGUAGGGGAGAUCGGAAUUCCUGGUGUAGCGGUGAAAUGCGCAGAUAUCAGGAAGAACACCCGUGGCGAAGGCGGUUCUCUGGGACGGUACUGACGCUGAGACGCGAAAGCGUGGGGAGCGAACAGG
rnacentral:rRNA from 1 species